rnacentral:rRNA from 1 species
GACGAACGCUGGCGGCGUGCCUAAUACAUGCAAGUAGAACGCUGAAGACUUUAGCUUGCUAAAGUUGGAAGAGUUGCGAACGGGUGAGUAACGCGUAGGUAACCUGCCUACUAGCGGGGGAUAACUAUUGGAAACGAUAGCUAAUACCGCAUAACAGCGUUUAACCCAUGUUAGAUGCUUGAAAGGAGCAAUUGCUUCACUAGUAGAUGGACCUGCGUUGUAUUAGCUAGUUGGUGAGGUAACGGCUCACCAAGGCGACGAUACAUAGCCGACCUGAGAGGGUGAUCGGCCACACUGGGACUGAGACACGGCCCAGACUCCUACGGGAGGCAGCAGUAGGGAAUCUUCGGCAAUGGGGGCAACCCUGACCGAGCAACGCCGCGUGAGUGAAGAAGGUUUUCGGAUCGUAAAGCUCUGUUGUAAGAGAAGAACGUGUGUGAGAGUGGAAAGUUCACACAGUGACGG